rnacentral:rRNA from 1 species
GACGAACGCUGGCGGCGUGCUUAACACAUGCAAGUCGAACGGAAAGGCUCCCUGCUUGCAAGGGGUACUCGAGUGGCGAACGGGUGAGUAACACGUGGGUGAUCUGCCUUGCACUUCGGGAUAAGCCUGGGAAACUGGGUCUAAUACCGGAUAGGACCAUGCUUUAGUGUGUGUGGUGGAAAGUUUUUUCGGUGCAAGAUGAGCCCGCGGCCUAUCAGCUUGUUGGUGGGGUAAUGGCCUACCAAGGCGACGACGGGUAGCCGGCCUGAGAGGGUGUACGGCCACAUUGGGACUGAGACACGGCCCAGACUCCUACGGGAGGCAGCAGUGGGGAAUAUUGCACAAUGGGCGCAAGCCUGAUGCAGCGACGCCGCGUGGGGGAUGACGGCCUUCGGGUUGUAAACUCCUUUCGCUAGGGAAGAAGCCACUGUGUGGUGACGGUACCUGGAUAAGAAGCACCGGCUAACUACGUGCCAGCAGCCGCGGUAAUACGUAGGGUGCGAGCGUUGUCCGGAAUUACUGGGCGUAAAGAGCUCGUAGGUGGUUUGUCGCGUCGUCUGUGAAAUCCCGGGGCUUAACUUCGGGCGUGCAGGCGAUACGGGCAUAACUAGAGUGCUGUAGGGGAGACUGGAAUCCUGGUGUACGGUGAAAAUGCGCAGAUAUCAGGAGGAACACCCGAUUGGCGAAGGCAGGUCUCUGGGGCAGUUACUGACGCUGAAGAGCGAAGCUUGGGUUAGCGAACAGGAUUAAUUACCCUGGUAAAUCAGCCGUAAACGGGGGGCGACAGGUGUGGGGGUCAUUAACGAAUUCCGGUGCCGAUAAAUAACCGCACAUAAGGCCACGCCUGGGAAGACAGGGCGAAGGGGUC